rnacentral:lncRNA from 1 species
GGGUCUAGUACUCUACUCUGAGCCAACCUAGCUACCCCAGUAGAAAACUCUGGAAAGAAAAUGGACAAGUUACAAAGGGUGGACAGCUAUGGAUGUGGACAGGAAUCCAUAUUGUUGAAGGGAAUUGACAAGGAGGAAGAUGGGAGAGAGGAAAAUGUGAAGAUGAGAAUAUGGACCUAAAAUAAGAUACAACUGAAAUUUUGUAAAGAUAACAAACCUGCCCAGGUACUCACUUAUUCAAGAACCUCCAGUGAUUCCUUAUUGUCUUCAGGGUAAAAUAAAA